rnacentral:rRNA from 1 species
UACGGAGGGUGCAAGCGUUGCUCGGAAUUACUGGGCGUAAAGCGCGUGUAGGCGGUUUCGUGUGUCUGAUGUGAAAUCCCCGGGCUCAACCCGGGAAGUGCAUUGGAAACUGCGAGACUAGAGUCCCGGAGAGGAAGGUGGAAUUCCAGGUGUAGCGGUGAAAUGCGUAGAUAUCUGGAAGAACACCGGUGGCGAAGGCGGCCUUCUGGACGGUGACUGACGCUGAGACGCGAAAGCGUGGGAAGCAAACAGG